UUUUUUUCCGUAAUAAUCCGGCCCAUUGACUUCCAUCAUCUCCGGUACAUCAUCUCCGGUGUUCCAGCUGCUACGGUCAGGCAAACGCCUCCGUUGCCAUGCGGUGAGAAUGGAGAGGUUGAGAAGGAGUUUCUUCCCAGAGGCAAUUCGGAAUGUAAACGCCUAUCUCACCAGGGACUAACUCUACUGAACGUUUUUCCUUACAUUAUUUAUUAUGUAAAAGAAUAUGUGUGUUAUGAUUGUGUUUAUAAUUUGUUUGGUUGUUUUGUUGUUUGUCUUUUGCACAAAAGUCCGCGAGCAUUGCCACUUUCAUUUCACUACACAUCUCGUAUGUGUAUGUGACAAAUAAACUUGACUUGACUUGACAUGGAAGGUGAUUUUCGGACUGAGGGUCGGGUGAAACACUGUGAAAAAGACACAUGCAAUCCUACUGCCCAUCGCCCUGCGUGAGGCUGGGCUCCUUCUCCUGGGCCCGAGGCUGCAGUGCCCAGGCACGGUGAUGCAAGGAUGCAAGGAAGCCUGCGCAGGCAGCCACAAUGGCGGAGCACCGAGCGUGGCCGAGCGCCGAGCUCUGGCUGCACCGCAUCCUGCGCAAAACCGCUGGCAUGGCCGUGCACCUUCUGUGUCUGGGCUUCACUGUCGGGAUCGGGGUUGUCAAUAGGCCGGGGACGAGUGAGCAUGAGUAUUUGAGCCACCGCAUUCAGGACAGAACCAAGGCAAUGGUCCGUAGGUACGUCAUGCUUGUGAGCAAAGAUCCUAGAGGAACAAGAUAGACCACUCCUCGAAAAACGCGUAGUAUCACGUGUGUGAUCGUCGACGCCAUUUUAUUGAGCAUUUUAUUGGGCUUCCCCCACACUGCCAUGGCGUCCUCAGCUAAAUCUUCAUCUCACUGCUCUGCUAUCAAUUGUUCUAAUCGUAAAUCUAAACGACCAGAUCUGUCAUUCUUUAGGUUCCCCAAUAAAAAAGAAAGAUGUCAACGGUGGGUCCAGAAUACUCGUCGACAAGAUCUCCUACACCGAAGUACGGAGUACUUGUCAGCCAACUGUUGUCUUUGUUCUUUACACUUUGAACUUGACCAGUUUUCCAACAAGCAGACCAAGACUUAGUCUAUUGAUUGUGUAUAAUCUGAAAAUGUUGUCCUUUGUUUGAAAUGUGUAGAAUGUGACAUCACUUUUAUUGAUUAUCUGAUAUUCUAAAUUGUGCAAAUUCUGCAAGCCUGUAUAUGUCGUGCACAAAAUGAUGUAAAUAAAAAUUGUUUUCCUGUUUAAGAAGUUCAAUUGAGAAUUAUUUGAAAUUGUGGGGGUUGAUACAAAAUACUGUUGACCCACAAAUGUGUUGAUAUGAGACAUUCACAUUUAAAAAAUCCAUGUCGCAAAAAAAGCAAGAAGGUGCCCAUGUUAUUUGACCAACUUGCCAGAUUAAUUUAAAUAUACACAAUACACAAUACAAUUUAUUUGUCACUUGAACCUCAUAGAGGUUGUUGGAGCCCCCGGCGUGCGCUAGAAAAGUGCCGCAGCCAUUUAAGCCACGCCGGGCGAUGAUGUAAGGCCCCGCUCCAGGUCAUCCUCGACCCCCGCUACUCGGGCGGAAUAAUUUGCCGUUGCGGAAGCCCCGAAAAGCGGUCUCCCAGCAGGGACCCGCAGGCUCCGAUAUUACUGUCUGCCAGUCCUGCGGUUGGAGCCUCCGAAUCUCCGGGGCUCGGGUCACAGCAGCGCAUGGGUACAUAUGUAGGUAUGUAUGCAUUAGUUUUGCUCCUAAUUCCCUUUUCCAAAUCAUUAAUAUAUAUGGUAAACAGUUGCAGCCCCAACACCAAGCCUUGUGGCAAAAAAAUCCAGAAGAUUAGUCAAACAUGAUUUUCCUUUCAUAAAUCCAUGUUGACUUGGACAGAUCCUUUUACUGCUAUCCAAAUGCCCCAUUAUUGCAUCUUUAAUAAUUGACUCCAGCAUCUUUCACACCACCAAAGUCGGGCUAACUGGUCUGUAAUUUCCCGUUUUCUCUCACGCUCCUUUCUUGAAAAGUGGGAUAGCAUUAGCUAUCCUCCAAUCCACAGGAGCUGAUCGUAAAUCUAUUGAUCGUUGAAAAAUGAUAAUAUAUAUAAAUAUAUAUGUAUGUGUAUAUAUGCAUGUAUGUGUAUAUAUGCAUGUAUAUGUGUGUAUAUACGUAUGUGUAUAUAUAUAUAUAUAUAUGUUUAUAUAUGUGUAUAUAUGUAUGCAUAUAUUAAUGUAUCAAUAUGUAUGUGCAUUUGUAUAUGUGUAUGUGUGUAUAUAUGUGUGUGUAUAAAUAUAUAUAUAUGCAUAUAUUUAUUAUUACUAUAUAAUUAUAUAUAUAAUUGCCUUUAUGGUUUAUGUAUAUCAUCUUACAAGACAAAUAAAUUAAUAGUGAUGAUUUAAAUCAAA